rnacentral:lncRNA from 10 species
UGGGGAGCCAUGGAAAGUUUCUGAACAGAGAAGCACUUAUUGGGAACUGUCAGAGCUAUGCUUCAGGAGAUGAAUCUGGCAACAACGUUAAUAUUAAUGCCCUGUACAUCCUGAGUACAUGUUUCCAGAAAGAGGUGAUCCAGGAGGCUGCCAAGUGGCCUGCAGGUGACAUCCAGAGGGCAGAAAAUGCCCAUGCAGGGUGCCCACACUCCUGUUCUUUAGAAGAAAGGGACGGCAGGAGUCUGAUCAUCUGUCCGAUGCCCACACAGUGGCUGUGCUGAGUGACGUGUUGUUUUGAGGAUGUCCCUACCCCCUGGUCUUGCCGUCGGUCUCCAGUACCCAGCGAAGCAAGCUGUGGGCUCUGAGGAGCUCACACCAGGGAGGAGCUGCCCUGGAGUGGAGCAACAGCAUGUCCUCUCCCCUGUGUGACUGCAGUGCUAUAAUAAUAAUAACAGAAAGCUGGCAUUUCUUGAGCUCUUACUGUGUGCCAGAGACACCGCUCUAAGUGCUUACACAUAUGUAUUCGUUUUCUGUAGUUGCUGUAACAAAUUAUCACAAACUUUAAACAUUGAACUUAUGGCAUAAAGCAACA